rnacentral:rRNA from 1 species
GACGUAGGGCGCGAGCGUUGUCCGGAUUUAUUGGGCGUAAAGAGCUCGUAGGCGGCUUGUCGUGUCGACUGUGAAAACCCGUGGCUCAACCAUGUGGUCUGCAGUCGAUACGGGCAGGCUAGAAUUCGGUAGGGGAGACUGGAAUUCCUGGUGUAGCGGUGAAAUGCGCAGAUAUCAGGAGGAACACCGGUGGCGAAGGCGGGUCUCUGGGCCGAUAUUGACGCUGAGGAGCGAAAGCGUGGGGAGCGAACAGG